UGUGAACCCUUUGCCGCUGCCAUUAUUGUUGUGAUGGAGGGGCGUUCGCUUGCUUUAUGGUGGCCGUACUGAAGUCCACCUUUUCCAGUUGAAACCAGGGUGUAAAACCAGGUCACAAAUUUGAUUAAAAAAAAAAAGAAAUCCCUCAGUUUCUGUGGGUCAAGUGACAUUUGACACUUGAAUUGAAUAUUAAACACAUUCAUUAUUUUAUUUUUGUUGUCAAAUCAGUGAACAACCCGACUUGUACCUGAAGGCAGCAGGAAUGUAGGUCAGUAACGAGUUCAACCCGUUGCUUAGAAACUGUUGCUUAGAGACGGAAUCUGCCCGCUCUUCUACACGUUCAUCCGAGGUGCGCAGCGGCGGGAAGCCGCGUCAGCUACAAGCGGAAGCAACGAAAUUUGAAAUUAGAGCUUUACACAAGACCAGCUGAACUUAUAAGUUGUUUGGAACUUUGUUGAGUCAACUGUAGUGGACCCCCUGCGAUUUUCAGAGUCCAAAUUGAGCGUGUUACAGGCCGUGGACGAGCGCUGUGACCGCGCCGCUGUCGUACUGUACCGGGGAAGUUACCACACCCAGGCACGGUACGCUUCUGCUUACACUAACCACGGAGUGUGGACCUCUGUAAGACGUUGAUAUCGGGUCCUCGGAGGACGAGUUGUUAUCGACCCCCCGCUGUGUUCUGAACAGCGAUUGCUCCCCGCUGGAGACAGAUGUGGACGGAGACGGAAAGCGACAGAGAAACAUUAGCUGUUCCAG